UACGUAGGGGGCAAGCGUUAUCCGGAUUUACUGGGUGUAAAGGGAGCGUAGACGGCGAUGCAAGUCUGAAGUGAAAGGCGGGGGCCCAACCCCCGGACUGCUUUGGAAACUGUAUGGCUGGAGUGCAGGAGAGGUAAGUGGAAUACCUAGUGUAGCGGUGAAAUGCGUAGAUAUUAGGAGGAACACCAGUGGCGAAGGCGGCUUACUGGACUGUAACUGACGUUGAGGCUCGAAAGCGUGGGGAGCAAACAGG
rnacentral:rRNA from 1 species